UGAACUGUACACAGAAGCCCUGGGGAUAGACCCCAACAAUAUAAAAACAAAUGCUAAACUCUACUGUAAUCGGGGUACGGUUAAUUCCAAGCUUAGGAAACUAGAUGAUGCAAUAGAAGACUGCACAAAUGCAGUGAAGCUUGAUGACACUUACAUAAAAGCCUACUUGAGAAGAGCUCAGUGGUGGGAUUGUUCCAGCCCUAGACUAUCUUUAUAGACCUCCAGCGGAGGAGAUUGCACAAGCUCCCUCAGUCUCCCAUGCCUGUGUCUAACGCCCCUCACGGUCAGUAAGUUUCCUCUGAUGCCUGACCCAAAUUCCUUUUGUUAAAAAGUUUAAAUCCAUUUCCUUUGGAGAUUUUAUUUUGUGUUGUACACUUAUGCUCUACCCUGGCACAGUGCUUGACACAUAGGUGCUCACUGAAUAAAUGUUUUGUUGAAUGA
rnacentral:lncRNA from 10 species